CGUUUUUUAAAAUUAAUUUACAAUUUAACCUGCUCAAUGAGCUCAUAAUCUCAUAAUCAAUAGUUUUUUAAUUAAAAGCUGGACCGAAUGGUUCGAUGAGAUAUUUACUGUAUCAAGUUGAAUAUUAAAAAAACAAUUUAUUAGUGAAAAAGCUAAUUUAAUAUUAUUAGAUGAUAAGAUCCUAUAGAUUCUUAUAAUUUAAUUUAUUUAACUUCAUAUUACAUAUAAACAUUAAUUAUUGGUUGGAUGAUCCUAAAUUUUAGAUUAUGAGAUUAAAUUACCUCAGAGAUAACAGCGUAAUAUUUUUAGAGAUCAUAUUGAUAAAAAAGAUGGC
rnacentral:rRNA from 1 species